rnacentral:rRNA from 1 species
AGAGUUUGAUCAUGGCUCAGAGCGAACGCUGGCGGCAGGCCUAAUACAUGCAAGUCGAGCGCACCUUCGGGUGAGCGGCGGACGGGUGAGUAACGCGUGGGAACGUGCCCUUUGGUACGGGAUAACUCAGGGAAACUUGAGCUAAUACCGUAUGUGCCCUUCGGGGGAAAGAUUUAUCGCCAUUGGAGCGGCCCGCGUUGGAUUAGGUAGUUGGUGAGGUAAAGGCUCACCAAGCCUACGAUCCAUAGCUGGUCUGAGAGGAUGAUCAGCCACACUGGGACUGAGACACGGCCCAGACUCCUACGGGAGGCAGCAGUAGGGAAUCUUGCGCAAUGGGCGAAAGCCUGACGCAGCCAUGCCGCGUGAAUGAUGAAGGUCUUAGGAUUGUAAAAUUCUUUCACCGGGGAAGAUAAUGACGGUACCCGGAGAAGAAGCCCCGGCUAACUUCGUGCCAGCAGCCGCGGUAAUACGAAGGGGGCUAGCGUUGCUCGGAAUUACUGGGCGUAAAGGGCGCGUAGGCGGACAGCUUAGUCAGAGGUGAAAGCCCAGGGCUCAACCUUGGAAUAGCCUUUGAUACUGGCUGUCUUGAGUUCGGGAGAGGUGAGUGGAAUGCCGAGUGUAGAGGUGAAAUUCGUAGAUAUUCGGCGGAACACCAGUGGCGAAGGCGACUCACUGGCCCGAUACUGACGCUGAGGCGCGAAAGCGUGGGGAACAAACAGGAUUAGAUACCCUAGUAGUCC